GCCGGGGCGGCGGGAGGGGCGGCGGGGGCAGACAAAGCGGCUAAUGAAUGGGCGCGCCCGCCGUGCCGUCCGCAGCCCGCGGGCCCGCGCCGCGCCGAGCCGGCGCCCCAGAUCCCUGGUGGCCUAGAGUUUGGAGAGAGACCUGGGCAGUGGAGCUCUGGAAGCAUGAAGACAGUAAGUGACCAUGAUGUUUCUGUGUUGCUGAAUUCUGCAUAAGAGUCACAGUUCCUCGCCAGACUCCACCUUUCUGCACCCCAGUCUUCCAUCCCCUUUUUGCCCCACUUUUCAGUACCUAGGUUUUUUUUUUCCUUCUGGAAUACUUCAAGUCAUUUACUUGCUAAUUAUUUGCAGUACAGGGUUUGAAUUCAAGGCCUCAUUUUUGUUAGUCAGGUGCUCUACUACUUGAACUACACCCCCCAACCUGUUUUGUUUUAAGUUAUUUUUCAGGUAGGGUUUCAAAUUUUUGCCCGAGGCUGUUCUUGCACUGUGAUCUGCCUAGCUAUGCCUCCCUCAUAGUUAGAAUUAUAGGUGUGUACCACCAUGCCAGGGUUUCUGGCUGAGAUGAGGUAAGACCUCAUCUAAGUUUUUUGCCGGGGCUGGUCUUAAAUCACAAUCCUCCCCAUCUCCACCUUCCAGUGGCUGGGAUUAUAGGUUUGCACCACCAUGCCUGGCCCUUUAGCUAAUUAUUUGAUACGUACUUUUGGUAGUUCAAAUUCUGGAAGGCACCUAUAGGAAUAAAUUAAAUCUUCCUUGUUCCUGAGGCA
rnacentral:lncRNA from 1 species